GACGAACGCUGGCGGCGUGCUUAACACAUGCAAGUCGAACGGAAAGGCCCUGCUGUUGUGGGGUGAUCGAGGGGCGAACGGGUGAGUAACAGGUGAGUAACCUGCCCUUGACUUUGGGAUAAGUUCAGGAAACUGGGGCUAAUACCGGAUAGGAGCUUCUGCUGCAUGGUGGGGGUUGGAAAGUUUCGGCGGGUGGGGAUGGACUCGCGGCUUAUCAGUUUGUUGGUGGGGGAGUGGCUUACCAAGGGUUUGACGGGUAGCCGGCCUGAGAGGGUGACCGGCCUCCUUGGGACUGAGAUACGGACCAGUCUGCUACGUGCGGCAGCCGGCGGGAGUAUGUCACACUGAGCGGGAGCCUGCUGCAGCAACGCCGCGUGCGUGAUGACGGCCUUCGGGUUGUAAACCGCUUUCGCUUGUGACCAAGCGUGUUUGACGGUAAUGGGAAAAGAAGCACCGGCUAACUACGUG
rnacentral:rRNA from 1 species